UACGGGGGGGGCAAGCGUUGUUCGGAAUUACUGGGCGUAAAGGGCUCGUAGGCGGCCAUCUAAGUCAGACGUGAAAUCCCUCGGCUUAACCGGGGAACUGCGUCUGAUACUGGAUGGCUUGAGUUUGGGAGAGGGAUGCGGAAUUCCAGGUGUAGCGGUGAAAUGCGUAGAUAUCUGGAGGAACACCGGUGGCGAAGGCGGCAUCCUGGACCAACACUGACGCUGAGGAGCGAAAGCCGGGGGAGCAAACGGG
rnacentral:rRNA from 1 species